rnacentral:sRNA from 2 species
UAAACAAUAACGCUUAAUUUCUCCUUCCAGGGAGAAAACGGGGGAACCAACGCGAACCGGUCGCAUGGCUGCAUGGACCGCACGCAGGGGGUGAAUCCGGGGAUUUGUGCCCCCGGUAGGGUUUUCUCUCUAACCCGAAUCCGACAGCUAACCUCGUCAGCGGAAGAAGGAGAGAUG